CCCGCACAUCAGAAAGUGGAUUGUACUAGAAGUCUGCGCGCUAACCCGCAAGGGAGGCAGCGGCCCAAGGUAUGAUUCAUGAUUGGGGUG
rnacentral:rRNA from 1 species